UCCAAACUUGAGCGGGGCAGGAGCCGUGGCCACGCUCCUUCUCCAAAUGUCCCCACCGAAACCACACUUGAGAACUUUAGAUUGUGUGGGUUGGGGGAAGCGGGUGCGGAGCGCCGAUCUCAGAGACAAAUCCGCACAGUGGGUGUCCUAGGAAAACCCUGGAGAAAGGGGAGGGCCUACAGGCAAGCGUCGGGCUCUGUCGUGGUUUCCUCCGGAGCUGUGGCUGGAUUUUCCCGGUGACAUUUCUCCUCUCUCUACAUCUGGGGUUCUGGGUUUCAAACGCGCUCUGGUAACCCAGUUGCAUUCUGUAAACAAAAGGAGCCCCAAAUGUGCAUACAGGAGUAUUGGAAAGCAGCCGGCCCGAGUGGAGAGGCUCCCCGGGGCCAGGCUGAGAGAAGGGAGGGCGGAGAACUCAGGACUAAGGUUCCUGAAACCCUCCGGGGCAUCCGAUCGUGAGCGCCGGCCCGGUCCAGCCACCUGGGGGCGCCGCUGACCCCAAAGUCUCUGGAGCUUACCUUGCACAGAGCAGGACUUACCUACUCUGAGCUAAGAAUGACCCCGUGCUAACCGAGGUGACCCUGCCCCACCUCGGGCUUGACCCGGCGCUUCAGGCUGGCUCUGUAAGCCGGAAUGACUUUGCUCCAAAGCACGUGACCUGCGCUAAAAAGGGUGGACCCUCUCGCUACCAUGGUGAUCGGCGCUCUGAGAGGGCCUGACCUGGCGCUAACAGGGAUGACCUGAGCAGAUCCCGCGCUGAGAUGUGCUUGAGUUACCCGACUGCUGCGUGCCCUGGUUCUCAAGGCUCACCUUGCCCAUAUUAGACGCUGAGCUUCUCCUGGCUCUUGCACUCUAGCGAGUCUGCCCCGCCCCACUCCCAGAUUGGCCUCUGGGGUACACCUUUCCCUUCCGGGCCUUCCCGGAAGUUCUGGGACACCUGGUUGGAGAGAAGGCUAUCUGGCCAGGCACACCCUACAGCUCCAGGAGAAAGGAGUCUGCGACCUUAAGAAGGUGGCUGGAUGUGAGGAGGGGGUCUUCAAGAGACUGCUGGUAAUUGAAACAGUGGAAAGCCAAAUGAAGAUAAGGACAGACUACUUCCCAGAAACCUAGAGGAAAAUAUACAUUAGUGGGAAAUCCACCCUGGCCUGGAAAUAGUUCAAAGAAGGGAAAUAGAGGCCCCCAGGGUAGAUUCCACUGGGGAUGCGCCUUCUUUUGGAAUGGAGCCACGUGGGAUGCAUGGAGGUGCAUGACAGAGGCUCCCACAGAUGUGUGCAGAAGGCGGAGGAGUAAGUUCUCACUUGCUGAAGCUCCACUGUGGGCAAAGACACCUGGAUCACUGAUCGGAACGAGACUUGAACCAGACAGCACCAGCACACAGUGGGUGCUUAGUGAGUAAAUGUUGAAAGUCUGAAUAAAUGGCCCUCCUGCCCUG